CUAUAAGAAUAUUCUAAUGAGAAUCUAAAUAGUUUGCAGGUUUAACAUGUCCUUUCUCUGCAACCUUAACACAUUGUUUCACUGAAUUAUAAUCAAAAGAACAAUGCGCACAUAAAAAGAAUGGUGAGUGAGUGAGACCAAUGUCAUACCAAAUGUUUUGCCUUUCUGGCUUGACCCUUUGGGCUUGUUUUCAGCUUCCUCUUCUGCUCACCAUUGCAUCCUCUCAUUUACUCUUCAUGGAAGCUUUGAAAGCGAUUUGGAAUGUGUUGCAUCCAUCAGUAGCAAACCUGGAUUGAAUUCCCCGUGGUCUUCUAUCGGAAUCAUCGUCCUUGUCGGAGCCUUCUUCCUCUUCGAUUUCCUUGUAGUUAGCAUCAGAGAACAGCUCAUCAUGAAUGGUUUAUCUUUGGUGACGGUUUCGAUUCAGCUUUUUCGUAAUCAUGAAAA